rnacentral:rRNA from 1 species
CAAGUCGAGCGCCCCUUCGGGGGAGCGGCGAACGGGUGAGUAACGCGUGGGAACCUGCCCUUUGGUGGAGGAUAACCCGGGGAAACCCGGGCUAAUACUGCAUAUGGUCUACGGAUCAAAGACUUCGGUCGCCAGAGGAUGGGCCCGCGUCCCAUUAUUUAAUCCUGGUUGGUGGGGGUAAUGGCCUACCAAGGGUACGAUGGGUAGCUGGUUUGAGAGAACGAUCAGCCACACUGGGACUGAGACACGGCCCAG